rnacentral:rRNA from 1 species
AGAGUUUGAUCCUGGCUCAGGAUGAACGCUGGCGGCGUGCUUAACACAUGCAAGUCGAACGGUGAAGCCCAGCUUGCUGGGUGGAUCAGUGGCGAACGGGUGAGUAACACGUGAGCAAUCUGCCCCUGACUCUGGGAUAAGCGCUGGAAACGGCGUCUAAUACUGGAUAUGAACCGUGGAGGCAUCUUCAACGGUUGGAAAGAUUUUUUGGUCAGGGAUGAGCUCGCGGCCUAUCAGCUUGUUGGUGAGGUAAUGGCUCACCAAGGCGUCGACGGGUAGCCGGCCUGAGAGGGUGACCGGCCACACUGGGACUGAGACACGGCCCAGACUCCUACGGGAGGCAGCAGUGGGGAAUAUUGCACAAUGGGCGCAAGCCUGAUGCAGCAACGCCGCGUGAGGGAUGACGGCCUUCGGGUUGUAAACCUCUUUUAGCAGGGAAGAAGCGAAAGUGACGGUACCUGCAGAAAAAGCGCCGGCUAACUACGUGCCAGCAGCCGCGGUAAUACGUAGGGCGCAAGCGUUAUCCGGAAUUAUUGGGCGUAAAGAGCUCGUAGGCGGUUUGUCGCGUCUGCUGUGAAAUCCCGAGGCUCAACCUCGGGUCUGCAGUGGGUACGGGCAGACUAGAGUGCGGUAGGGGGAGAUUGGAAUUCCUGGUGUAGCGGUGGAAUGCGCAGAUAUCAGGAGGAACACCGAUGGCGAAGGCAGAUCUCUGGGCCGUAACUGACGCUGAGGAGCGAAAGGGUGGGGAGCAAACAGGCUUAGAUACCCUGGUAGUCCACCCCGUAAACGUUGGGAACUAGGUUGUGGGGUCCAUUCCACGGAUUCCGUGACGCAGCUAACGCAUUAAGUUCCCCGCCUGGGGAGUACGGCCGCAAGGCUAAAACUCAAAGGAAUUGACGGGGACCCGCACAAGCGGCGGAGCAUGCGGAUUAAUUCGAUGCAACGCGAAGAACCUUACCAGGGCUUGACAUAUACGAGAACGCUGCAGAAAUGUAGAACUCUUUGGACACUCGUAAACAGGUGGUGCAUGGUUGUCGUCAGCUCGUGUCGUGAGAUGUUGGGUUAAGUCCCGCAACGAGCGCAACCCUCGUUCUAUGUUGCCAGCACGUAAUGGUGGGAACUCAUGGGAUACUGCCGGGGUCAACUCGGAGGAAGGUGGGGAUGACGUCAAAUCAUCAUGCCCCUUAUGUCUUGGGCUUCACGCAUGCUACAAUGGCCGGUACAAAGGGCUGCAAUACCGUAAGGUGGAGCGAAUCCCAAAAAGCCGGUCCCAGUUCGGAUUGAGGUCUGCAACUCGACCUCAUGAAGUCGGAGUCGCUAGUAAUCGCAGAUCAGCAACGCUGCGGUGAAUACGUUCCCGGGUCUUGUACACACCGCCCGUCAAGUCAUGAAAGUCGGUAACACCUGAAGCCGGUGGCCCAACCCUUGUGGAGGGAGCCGUCGAAGGUGGGAUCGGUAAUUAGGACUAAGUCGUAACAAGGUAACC